AAUAGAUUGGAAUGUUUCUCUCCUCACUGGGAAAAGCUCCUUUGGUCUCAGUGAACUCAGAGGUGGAGAAAGUCAUAAGAAUCAGGGAGCCUGCCCCAAAUUGCCUCCUAUGAUAACUUUCCACAAAGACUGGAGGGGAGGCUCCAAACGUCUUCCUGCAGUGUCCAGCAAGACAGCGAGGCAGACUCCCUUUCUCCUGCCAAAGCCACGUGGAGCCAGACAGAACCACAAGCAUACCUGUGGUGCUUGGAGGCCCAAGUAGAAACUUGAAUGCUCACGGCUGCAUUGGCAGCUUCUACUUGCCUGCCUGGAUCACUGUUCCUCAUGAGAACUUGGAAAAGCAGGACUAUCAUUCUUGCUUGACAGAUGAAGAAACCAAGCCUCAGGACUGCGUGCAAUUCUACUUGGAGAUCUUCAUAACACCUUAAGGGAAAAAUCCUUUUUGAAAGAAAAACAACUCUGGGUGGUGCUUGAAAAUUCAGAAGGCAGCUAGAAACUUUGCCAAUUACAACUGCACCGACUGAAGACAAAAGAAACUUCUCCAGUGGAUGAAGUUGUCCACUGGCAUCCACAGCAAUGAUGUCCUUGCUUCCCAAAGUGUACACAUUGUUUGCUGGGUGAUUGCUGAGUUCCGGAGACAGACUGGGCUUCUGCUUUCUUUUGGUGGAGGUGUCUGCUUGCAGAAAAUUUAUGUUCUGGGAUUUACAACUUCAGGGAGACAAAGGAAACUCCAGCUCAUCUCCCACAUCAUUGAUUGAGAGGACCAUCUUCUGACUCUCUGCACAUGGUAAUAACUGGCAUAUGCUGUGAAAGUCGUGCAAGUAGAAAAGACAAUAACCAGUCUGUGGGAUGAUUCAAGGCUGCUAGAUCCACAUUUUUCCUUGGAUAAUACAUGUGUAGUUUUCACAAAGACAUCAAGCGUGUACUGUCAUCAGUGAGAGCAAAGUACUACUGGACUCUGUCUAAUGGUAUACGCAGAAACUAACACCUUCCUUAGAGUAAGAAGCCUCACGAAUACUAACUUCAUGUUCUUGCUUAUAUGUUAAUGUGCCAGUUAUGGAAUAACUUGAGAAAAAAAUGGUAGUAACAUUUUCUUCUAAAAAAUACAUACAUUAUGUAGCUUUUGACAAAGUUAUGAAAUACACAUCCAAAUGAGAUUAAGAUUCAUCAAAUGCUACAUGCUUGAUAACAUAAUCAGGUUACUUCCAUCAGUUAUAUACUGUGUACAUGCAUUUGUACAAACCAAAGCAGAAUGUGAUAAAUAUUUAUGUUAUUCAGUAGCUUUCAAACCCUCUCCUACUUAAACAGUGUCUUUGAAACAUUGAAAGUUUGAUCAGUUUUGUUUUGCGCCACUCUAAUAAAUACUAAAAUGAAUGCUGCCAUCUGUUAUUUACAUACAAAACCUUAGUCAAGCUCUAAAAUUGCUGCUGAUUUAGACAGUGAGAAAUACAUGUUUUUACACUAAAGUGGCAUGAAGUUUAAAUACAGAGUCAACUUGGUUUGUGACGAUGGAACAGAGGGUAAACUGGCACAAAUUGACAGAAAACAGAGUUCUCAUCAGAGAUCUGUCUAAUGACAACUUAUUAAACUAAUUACUAAUAAAAUGGUUUUCUCACACUUUUAUUCUUAAGUUACUAUAAUCUUAGAGAUAAAUAUUAUUGAUUUAUUAUACAUAUCAGUCUCACAUUUUAAGUGGUGUAUGUUUAAAAUACAUACAUUCAGAAAACCUAUACAAUUAGAUACAAUUUUAAUGAUAAUUUGUCAAAGGUAGCAUAAAAGAUGCAUUUAAUAUCAUAAUUAAAGUUUUAAAAAAGCUUUCUUGACAGCAGUAUGAUAAACUAUAUACUUGACCAAUCUUCAUGAUAAAAACAACUAAAAUGCAUGAUAAAUUAUAUAUAUAAUACAUAUAUAUGCAUAGACAUAUAUGUGUAUGUAUUACAAUGCAUUAUUGAGUUGGUACAGUUGUAAGAAUUCUACAGAGGACAAAACAGAAAUGAAGACAGAAAUCCUGAGAGGUUAGUAAGUACUAACAGCUCAUUUUUCUUCCAAAGAUUUCUACCACAACCUUCUAUCUUACUAUUCAUUUCUGAUAGUUGCAUGGAGUGUGGAAAAUAAGGUGAGAACCCACAAAAGGUGAAGGGGCUAAUAGGAAAAACUAGCAUAAAGCUGGAAACCUAAAGGCUGCAUAUAUUCCAAAUCCGUGGCCAUUAUUG